GGACUCUCAGAAAAUGUUAAUCAGCACCAUGAUGAUUGGGACAUCCACUUGCAGGCCAUAGUUUAUGGAAUAAACACUGCAAAACAGAGAUCCACCAAGUACAGCCCGUACUUUUUAAUGUACAAUAGGCACCCCCGUCUACCACAGGCAUUAAAUGUCUGUGAGACAGACGCUGCCUUUGAAUUGGCGGACCCAGAGGAGGAGCUGGAGCUAAAACUAGCUGGAGUCAAGGCCCUCAAUGAAACGGUACGGAAAAACAUUGAAAAGGCACAGGGGAAACAAAAAAAGGCUUUUGAGGCAAAGAAAAGGAAAGGGGUUCGCCAGUGCUCAGUUAAGGCAGGGGACGAGGUCCUAAUUGGGGAGCCCAAAAAGAAGGUGAAGAAGGGAAAUUGUUUACAGGAUCUCCACCAAGGGCCAUUCACCCUCACAUCCCUGACAGAGAAGGGUGUGGCAAGUGUGGCUUGUUAGGGAAAAUACAUAAAGUUAAUGUUGCACAGCUAAGGCCCUACUUUCGGCCACAAGAUCAUAGCCAUGAAUCGGAGGGCAGCCAAAACAAUGCAGAAGACAUUGGACUGGUGGACCACCAGUAUGCCAAUAAAGGUCCACUGUGGCACAAGAGGUUGUGUCCUCAACAAGAACAAGUGCUGACCUAUGUGCUGGACAGAACACGUCCAGCAAAAGAAAUUGUUGUUCUGGAUGGCCCAGUUUGUCUUCAAAGGGAAGACUUUUGGAGCCUGGGGCUAGAUGAACAGGUGGAGAGCAGUAUUGGGAAUGCGUGCUUCAGGCUGGUAGAGGAGGCAGGCAGGAGACAUGGAAUGGAUGUCCACAUUGCUGACCUAUUUGAAGUCCCUAAAUGGAAACUAAGGGAACCUAGUUUGCCGACAACUUGCAGGAGCAGUGGCUAAUGGACCGUGGGUGGAGAAGACGGGCAAAGAUUUUGAUCCAUUUCCAGUUCAGUCAGAUGGACAGAGCUGUGGGAUAUUCAUGCUUAUGUAUGCCCUCUGCAUCUGUACUGGUGCCAUGUUUCACUUUUUGGAUACUGACAUACCAUCUAUUCGGAAGUGGUGGUGUCUCCAGAUUCUGGAGAAAUUCUCGAUCGCAAGGUAGGGCAUAUUUCAAGCAGUAAAACAUUGGUCUGCUUUACAAUUAUGCUACAUUAAAAGUACCAUACUUUUGAAUGGGCAUGGGCAGAACUUCGGGCAGCGCUUUGCCUUCUGGACAGAGGAGGCAGAACAGCUGAUGGCAGGCACCCUACCACCUAUUUAUAGGAUUUCUCGACCCCAAAUAGUCAAGGAGGAACAGGUAGAAGUGGAGGAGCUGCCCCUCACAUUGAAACAUAUGUACCAGGCAGAAUACAUCGUGAGGAACAGUCUUGGGCUUUUCACUGGCCAGGUGCAAGAACCAUCAUACAUGUUGAUGGAUCAUGAUGACCAAAUGAAAGCGUGGAGGGUGCUGAUGGAGUCGAGGAAGUGCUAUGCCA